AUGACUUUGAUAUGGAGCACUUCAUGUAUGUACAUAAAUCAUUCAGAGAUGAAGAAACAUGAUCGUGUUCAUUGUGGAACAACUGGUUCUCCACUGGUCUUGCUUAAAUUUAGUCCUUGUCAGGAGGGGUGUACACAAAUUCAAGGUUGGCCUUCAUGGUUUCAAAAUGGUAAGCAAUAUAUAAUGGGGGAAAAUCUCGUUCUGAUUUUCCAUACUGGCAAGCUUUUGUCUGGAGGGCUGAGUUUGUGCCCUGAUGCCUAUCAAAGGUUUGUAAAAAGCCUAUUACGCCACUGGAAUUGCAUCCCAUGA
rnacentral:rRNA from 1 species